rnacentral:lncRNA from 1 species
GCAGACAGCCCGGCGAACCGCGCAAUGCGCUUCUUCUGCCUGCAGCAGAGAAAAGGAAAGAAAACUCCGCAGGGGCUCCGUUGGCUUCUCCACGAGUGACAACCAUGUUUUCCCAGAUAGAAGACCGGAGCCCUGCUCCUUUGCGAUCCGCCGAGGGCUGCAGAGAGCAUCCUCAUCCAUUUGGGCACCCCUGCCCAGGAAGAGCCCGGCCAUCCCUUUCCGGACUGGAUCCUUAAGAGGUGAAUUUUCUUCCGUGGAUUCCGAUUUGCUCCGUCUGACCAGCCUAGGCAAUCCAGCAUCGCGUGGUACCAGUGCCGCUGGGCACACUGGCUUCACGCCGGCUCCGCCUCACCAGCAAGCGCAUUCCCAGAUGGAGUCUCACUCUCUCGCCCAGACUGGAGUGCAGUGAAGCAAUCUCAGCUCACUGCAACCUCCACCCUCCCGGGUUCAAGUAAUUCUCCUGCUUCAGCCUCCUGAGUAGCUAGGAUUACAGGCAUGCACCAUCAUACCUGGCUGUAGCCCUUAUUUUAAAUUCAAUGUACUGUAAUGAUUUACUUGGUUUAUUGUCUUAACUUUCUGUUCCACUGGAAUACAGGUUCAAUAAGGAGGGAUUUUAAUCAAUUUUGUUCUCUGAAGUGUCUUCAGAACCAAAUGAGUAAAAAAUUAUCAUUGUUGACGUUUUCACUUCGUGCUAGCAUAUGGGCAAUCUCAAUUUAUUUCUAAUAACUCCCUGUAUCUUUCAGAGCAUUCCUUCAUGAAUGAAGAAAGCCCUGAUAGUGUUCCAGUAAUUUAUGUUUUUUAUGUUUGAAUUUCUUAACAAAAAGAAUUAUACCACUAAAAGAUCCAGCUUUUUUGUUUGUUUUACUUUUUGAAAAAAAAUUUAUAUUGUUAAUAGAGACAGGGUCUCACCAUGUUGCCCAGGCUGGUCUCGAACUCCCGGACUCAAGUGAUCCACCCUCCACAGCCUCCCAAAGUGCUGGGAGUACAGGUGUGAGCCACUACACCCAGCCAAGAUCCAGCUUUUUUACCAGGGAAAAUAAGAAAUUUAAUAUGCUUGUUUCCAAAGCAACAAAAGCUUUACAUGAUUAAGUAGACUGAGGGCUCUUCCAUAUUAGACGAAAAUAUCCAGCCAAAUUGCUGAGGACUCCCUCAGACAGGAAAAAAAAUGUUUAGAGCCAUCCUCACAAAGAAAUUUUCCUGUUUAAUUAUAACCUAAUUAUGACAACUUUUUUUUCUUUAGGUGGUCAGGCUCAGGAUGGACCAUGAGCUUUCAAAAAGGAAAAAGGUGGAAAUCCUCAACUAUGCUGCCAUCUGAAUAAGUGUUUCUUUGUAGAUGCACAGAGUCAAGGAAAAUUACAUCCCUGCAUUAUGUAAUGUACCAACAACGCACUUACCCACUGUUUUAAUCUAGGUUAUUCUUGAAAGCAGAGCCUGAGACAAAGGUAGACACAUUCUAUUUAUGAGUCUAACACCCAGGAGCAGGAAUGAGAGAUAGGGGAGUGAACUGGGGAAAAGGGAAACUAAGUCCGAGCAAAACCAGAUACUGCUCUUAUCAAGUGGUCCACCCCUAUUAAUGGCUACAUAAUGCAGAACUUUCUCAGGAUUCUUCUUAAACUUUAUCUCAGAACUGUCUGCCUCAGGGAGAAAGGAGAAGUAUUUCUCCAUCAGCAGCCACCUCCUGUGUGUUGAGGGCUGCUCCUUUGGGGCAUUAACCCACUGCCUCCACCACCCCAACCCUCUGGGCUGCAAAGAGCUAGCUGACAGUCCAGCUGGUACCUUAGCAUCACACAUUGCUGCAUCAGAGAGGUCUUAAGACAGGAAGCUAGAGUCUUGGUGCAUGCUCGAAGUGAGACGGUGUCAGCACAGAGCAGGGUAAAAUCUUCCCGUUAACUCUUCACCAGAGCUAUGACUGGAAUCAGAGGUUGAAAAGAUGUGAGACUGUACCCAAGAAGCAUCUUAUAAGCCUACGUAAUAUACUGUUAGACUCAUCGAAAUCUAUUUCCUCCCUUCUUUAUAAUCAAAACUUCAGUGUCCAGAAUAAAGUUGGCAGAAGGGUUAAAUUGGAAAGU